UACGUAGGUGACAAGCGUUGUCCGGAUUUACUGGGCGUAAAGAGCGCGCAGGCGGUCGAUCAAGUCGAGUGUGAAAGCCCCCGGCUCAACUGGGGAGGGUCAUUCGAUACUGAUCGACUCGAAGGCAGGAGAGGGUAGUGGAAUUCCUGGUGUAGCGGUGAAAUGCGCAGAUAUCUGGAGGAACACCGGUGGCGAAGGCGGCAUCCUGGACCAUUACUGACACUGAAAAGCGAAAGCCAGGGGAGCAAACGGG
rnacentral:rRNA from 1 species